GCCGCUUUGGAUCAGUGGUUAAAUCGUUGCGGAUUCAUGGGGUAUUUGAGAAAUUAUUCCUGCAAAGGCACAGGUUCGAAACCUGUAGGCGGCA